UGGGGUGUAGCCAAGCGGUAAGGCAACGGGUUUUGAUCCCGUCAUGCGUAGGUUCGAAUCCUGCCACCCCAG
rfam:Marinomonas mediterranea MMB-1, complete genome.